UCUGAUGAAUAAAAUACAUAUUGACCUUGUAUUGUAGAUGACCAGACUCCCCUUCCCCCCCACAAAUUGACCUUGUAGUUAACAAAAACCAUGAGGACACAAAUAAAAUACACAUUUACCUUGUAUUGUAGAUGACCAAAGUUUAACUACAAGAUCAAUUUGUGGGGUUUUUUUUUUUGUCAUUGUUUUUGUUUCCUCGUGGUUUUUGAUAUCUACAAUACAAGGUAAAUGGUUUUUUUUUUCUGUUUUUUAUCUUCAAGGUCAAUUUUGUGGGGUCUAGUCAUCUAUAAUACAGGGUCAGUAUGUAUUUGUGUCAUGGUUUUUAACUACAAGGUCAGUAUGUAUUUAACCUGUGUCACUGUUUUUGUUUCCUCAUGGUUUGUGAUAUCUACAAUACAAGGUCAAUAUGUAUUUAAUUUGUCAAGGUUUUUGUUAUCUACAAGGUAAAUUUUAAGGAGUGUGGGCAUCAAAAAUACAAGGUAAAUUUGUAUUUUAACUACAAGGUCAGUCUGUAUAUUGUGUCAUUGUUUUUGUUUCCUCAUGUUUUUUUAUAUCUACAAUACAAGGUCAAUGUAUAUUUUAUUUGUGUCAUGGUUUCUAUUAACAACAAGGUCUAUUUUGGGGGGUGUCUCAUCUCUAAUACAAGGUCAAUAUGUCUUUUUUUGUCAUGGUUUUUAACUACAAAGUCAAUAUUUAAUUUGCCAUGUUUUUUGUUAUCUACAAGGUCAAUUUUAAAGAAUCUGGUCAUCUACAAUACAAGGUAAAUUUGUAUUUUAUUUGUCAUGGUUUUUGUUACUACAAGGUUGGUAUGUAUUUUGGGCUUUUUUUGUUUUGUUUCCUCGUGGUUUUUGAUAUCUACAAUUCAAGGUUAAUAUCUAUUAGGUCAAGUUUAAGAUGUCAGGUCAUCUAUAAUACAAGGUAAAUUUUGUAUUUAAUUAGUGUCCAUGGAUUUUGUUGUCUACAAGGUCAAUUUUAAGGAGUCUUGUCUUCUACAAUACAAGGUAAAUUUGUAUUUCAUUUGUCAUGGUUUUUGUUAUCUAUUAGGUCAAUUUUAAGAAGUCUGGUAAUCUACAAUACAAGGUAAAUAUUUUAUUUGUCAUGGUUUUUGUUAACUACAAGGUCAAUUUGCGGGGUUUUGGUCAUAUACAAUAAAAGGUCAGUAUGUAUUUAGUUUGUGUUUUUUGUUUCCUCAUGUUUUUGAUAUCUACAAUUCGUCUAUUUUGUGUCAUCAUGGUUUCUAUUAACUACAAGGUCAAUUUUGGGUUCUGGUCAUUUUCAAUCCAAGUUCGAUUUGUAUUUAAUUUGUGUCCUUUUCGUCCUCAAGGUCACUUUUGCGGGUCUGGUCAUCUACAAUACAAGGUCAACAUGUAUUUCAUUUGUCAUGGUUUCUAUUAAUUACAUGUUUGGGGGGCUCUGGUCAUGUACAAUGCAAGGUAAAUUUGUAUUUAAUUAGUGUCCAUGGAUUUAGUUGUCUACAAGGUCAAUUUUAAGGAGUCUUCUACAAUACAAGGUAAAUUUGUAUUUUAUUUGUCAUGGUUUUUGUUAUUACAAGGUCGGUAUGUAUUUGGGCCUUUUUUUUUUUCCUCAUGGUUUUUGAUAUCUACAAUACAAGGUUAAUAUGUAUUUCAUUUGUCAUGGUUUUUCUUAUCUACAAGGUCAAUUUGAAGGAGUCUGUUCAUCUACAAUACAAGGUAAAUUUGUAUUUUAUUUGUGUCAUGGUUUUUAACUACAAGGUCAGUAUGUAUUUAACUUGUGUCACUGUUUUUGUUUCCUCAUGGUUUUUGAUAUCUACAAUACAAGGUUAAUAUGUAUUUCAUUUGUCAUGGUUUUUAUUAACAAGGUCAAUUUUGGGGGGUGGGGGAUCAUCUAUAAUACAAGGUCAAUAUGUAUUUUUUUUUGUCAUGGUUUUCAACUACAAAGUCAAUAUGUAAUUUGUCAUGUUUUUUGUUAUCUACAAGGUCAAUUUUAAAGAAUCUGGUCACCUACAAUACAAGGUAAAUUUAUUUUAUUUGUGUCAUGGUUUUUAACUACAUGGUCAGUAUGUAUUUAACCUGUGUCACUGUGUUUCCUCAUGGUUUGUGAUAUCUACAAUACAAGGUCAAUAUGUAUUUAAUUUGUCAUGAUUUUUGUUAUCUACAAGGUAAAUUUUAAGGAGUGUGGGCAUCAAAAAUACAAGGUAAAUUUGUAUUUUAACUACACGGUCAGUACGUAUAUUGUCAUUGUUUUUGUUUCCUCAUGGUUUUUGAUAUCCUCUAAUACAAGGUCAAUGUAUAUUUUAUUUGUGUCAUGGUUUCUAUUAACAACAAUGUCAAUUUUGGGGGGUGUCUGAUCAUCUAUAAUAAAAGGUCAAUAGUGAAGUGAAUGAUAUUUAUAUAGCGCUUUUCUCAAGUGACUCAAAGCGCUUUACAUAGUGAAACCCAAUAUCUAAGUUACAUUUAAACCAGUGUGGGUGGCACUGGGAGCAGGUGGGUAAAGUGUCUUGCCCAAGGACACAACGGCAGUAACUAGGAUGGCACAAGCGGGAAUCGAACCUGCAACCCUCAAGUUGCUGACACGGCCUCCCUACCAACCGAGCUAUACACUGUCAAACUCGUUUGCACUUGCACUUGCACUUGCACUUGCAUGGCUUAAUCUUUGAGACAAGCAUAUGCUACAAUAUGUAUUUUUUUUGUCAUGGUUUUUAACUACAAAGUCAAUAUGUAAUUUGUCAUGUUUUUUGUUAUCUACAAGGUCAAUUUUAAAGAGUCUGGUAAUCUACAAUACAAGGUCAAUUUGUAUUUUAUUUGUCAUGGUUUUUGUUACUACAAGGUUGGUAUGUAUUUCGGGACUUUUUUUUUUUUUAGGGUUAGGGUUUGGCCUUUGUUUUAAUGUUUUUGAUAUCUACAAUAAGUUUAUGUAUUUUGUCGUCAUGGUUUCUAUUAACUACAAGGUCAAUUUUGGGGUUCUGGUCAUCUACAAUCCAAGUUAGAUUUGUAUUUAAUUUGUGUCCUUUUUAUCUUCAAGGUCACUUUUGCACAUAUGGUCAUCUACAAUACAAGGUCACUAUGUAUUUCAUUUGUCAUGGUUUCUAUUAAUUACAAGGUCAAUUUUGGGGGGCUUUGGUUAUCUACAAUACAAAGUAAAUAUGUAUAUUUUGCCAUGGUAUUUAUCUACAAGGUCAAUUUUGGGGGUCUGGUUAUCUAUAAUACAAGGUCAAUAUGAAUUUUAUUUGUGUCUCGUGGUUUUUAUCUACAAGGUCAAUUUUGGGGGUCUGGUCAUCUACAAUACAAGGUCAAUAUGUAUUUCCUUUGUCAUGGUUUUUGUUAUCUACAAGGUCAAUUUUGGGGGUCUGGUCAUCUACAAUACAAGGUCAAUAUGUAUUUCCUUUGUCAUGGUUUUUGUUAUCUACAAGGUCAAUUUUAAGGAGUCUGGUCUUCUACAAUACAAGGUCAGUAUGUAUUUAAUUUGUGUCCUCAUGGUUUUUGUUUUCUACAAGGUCAAUUUUAGGAGUCUUGUCAUCGACAAUACAUGUUAAAUAUGUAUUUAAUUUGUGUCAUGGUUUUUCAUAUCUACAAGGUCAAUAUGUAUAUAAUUUGUGUCCUCAUGGUGUUUGUUUCCUCAGUUUUUGAUAUCUACAAGGUCAAAAUUGGUUUAUUCCACUAUGCAAUGCAACACUCUUACCUAAUGUUAUCCAUUUAUUCAUUCAUGUGACUAAUUUCUCAUUCUUACACCCUGCAGCGCUACAACAGUACACAAGUCUUACACAAUGUGUUAUGGGUCACGUUCCUGCUUCUCCUCCUGCUGUGCGGACUGAGUGCAUGGCGGAGCACAUAAACAGGUGUUCCCUCUCCGCUGCGGGUGUGCCUCUGCAAGAGAUCUGCAAUCAACACACCUGCCGGUGAUGAGCAACCAGCCUUCAUAAGCCAGCGCGUCUUAAGAUCCGGUGCCAGAACGUAGUUUCUCCUACCAGUACACUUCCUCGUCGUCUACCUGGACCCACUUUGGAUUCCUUCUUGCCUUCCUGGACCAAGACCUCGCUCCUGCCCUCUGACGUCCAAGCCUUUUUCUCCUUUUGGACUUCCACCUCUAUCUCAACACGCACACUCAACACCCUCUGGUGACCACGCUCAGAUAAUACUUACACAUAGUCACACUCCAUCUCUUUAAGGUAAUCACACACUGCACUCACAUACUGAGUUGUCAAUAAACACGC